GAUAACAAGAUGCAGUAAACAAC
rnacentral:siRNA from 1 species